CUACAACAAACGACGAAAGAGCGAAUGUUUGCUCCAAAAUGGACAAAAAGAAGUUGACUAAGAAAAACAAGAAGACUGGUAAACUGCGAAAAGAAGCUGUUGAUCGCCCAAAUAUGAUGUUUAACAAGGAUGCAGCAGUUGGAAAGGCAACCUCUUAUUUUGAAUCAGCACUAAAACAGCUACUGAACAUCCUGUUUACAACACUGGAUUUCCUUUAGCAUUGGCAGCUCUUGCAUUGGC